UACAGAGGUCCCAAGCGUUGUUCGGAUUCAUUGGGCGUAAAGGGUGCGUAGGCGGCGCGGUAAGUCGGGUGUGAAAUCUCGGAGCUUAACUCCGAAACUGCAUUCGAUACUGCCGUGCUUGAGGACUGGAGAGGAGACUGGAAUUUACGGUGUAGCGGUGAAAUGCGUAGAUAUCGGAAGGAACAUCAGUGGCGAAAGCGACUUCCUGGACCAAUACUGACGCUCAUGUGCGAAAGCGUGGGGAGC
rnacentral:rRNA from 1 species